UUUGUUCCCGCGUAAAUCUAACGUAACCCUACUCUGUCUUAUUUCUUCGCGCGUUCGACAAGGUUGACUCACUCAUCGUGCGGCCGCUCAAACCAUAGGCGCAAGAGAUGCUAGCACUCGGGCGAGGACAUGCAGUAAUAUUGGCCAUGUUUGAGUUCCAGUUUCUAUCAUUGUUUCAGUUGUUGAAGGGAGAACUUCUCUUUCACCAGCUAUGCCAACAGGGAGAGGCCGAAGAAGAAUACAAGGGGGUAGAGGGAGUGGCAUUAGUGCUAGCAGUACAAAUUCUUCUAAGCAAUUAGAUCCAAAUGGUGGUGGAAAAUAGCUAUGUUAUUUCCUAAGUUUUUCCUUUAUUUUAUAUGCAUGAGAUACUUAGAACUCUUAUUGAGUUUAUUAUUCUACUAUCUUAUAAUAUUGUAUGACUUUUGAUAUGUGGUUAACAUAUUGAACCACUUAUGAUAUGACUUUUCAUAUAUGAAUUACAGAUUGAACCACUUAUAUUA